rnacentral:rRNA from 1 species
AAGUACGUGGCGGCAUGGACUAGCAGUACAGUCGAGCGAGAAAGUUUCUUUUGCUUGCAUUGGAAACUGGAAAGCGGCGAAAGGGAGAGUAACGCGUAGGGUACCUGCCCCCAGGUUUGGGAUAGCGGUGGGAAACCGCCGGUAAUACCGAAUAAUGUCUCCGGACCAAAGGUGUGAUUCCGCCUGGGGAUGGUCCUGCGUCCUAUUAGUUUGUUGGUGGGGUAACGGCCUACCAAGACGUUGAUGGGUAGCGGGCGUGAGAGCGUGGCCCGUCUCACUGGGACUGAGACACUGCCCAGACACCUACGGGUGGCUGCAGUCGAGAAUCUUCCGCAAUGGACGAAAGUCUGACGGAGCGAUGCCGCGUGCGGGAUGAAGGCCUUCGGGUUGUAAACCGCUGUCAGUGGGGUGGAAAUGCAUUGGGGUUAUCCCCAGAUGUUUGACCUAACCGCACAGGAAGUCCGGGCUAAGUA